AUGCUCUCCAGGUCCAGACCUUUCGCCUUGCGCAGACCAAGACCACCGGCUACCCCCGCAACCGCAAGCAGGCUCUCACCGCGGCACUCGUCGACCCAGCCUGACGAAAAUGCGGCCGUCACCGCGCAGAAUAUGCGGCUCACGGCUCUGCUCAGUAGCGGCGACACCGUGGCCGCGCGCAGGCUGUUCGACGGAAUGCCGCGCCGGACUGUGGUCACCUGGAACGCCAUGGUCGCGGGCCACGCGCGGCGCGGGAGCGUACUGGACGCGCUCGACGCUGCCACGCGCAUGCACCGCUCGGGGGUCAGCCCCAGCGAGGCCACCUUCGCGUCGGUGCUUGGCGCCUGUGCCCGCGGCCGCCUCCUUCGAGUCGGGGCACAGGUGCACUGCCAGGUGAUCAAGUCCGGGUCUGAGAGCCUCGAGGUCGUGGGGCCCUCUCUUCUCGACUUCUACUCCUCGUGCUUCGAUCUGCGCGCAUCUCACACGCUCUUCGAUUCCCUUCAUCCGAGGAAUGAGCGAAUGUGGAGCCCGAUGGUCGUCGCGCUUGUGAGGUUCAACCUGCCGGGUGACGCCCUGGAUCUUCUCGAGAGGAUGCCUGCGCCUCGUGACGUGUUUGCGUGGACCGCUGUUAUAUCGGGCCAUGCACGAGGAGCGGGUGAGUGCUGUCGCAAGGCGAUUUGGUUAUUUGUUCAGAUGUUGGCCGAUGAUGGAGUGAGGCCGAAUGAAUUCACUUUCGACAGUGUUUUGAGGGCAUGCGUAAAGAUGGGAGCGUUGGAUUUUGGGAGAUCGGUUCAUAGCUGUUUGAUUCGAAGUGGGUUUGAUACCGACAAGUUAAUCACCAGUGCUCUUGUGGAUCUUUACUGCAGUUCUGAUGCUGUGGGUGAUGCCUUGCUGGUUUACAGUGACCUGGAAAACCCGUCCUUGAUCACAUCCAAUGCAUUGAUCGGGGGGCUUAUAUCAAUGCACAGGACGGAGGAAGCAAAGAUAGUUUUCUUGAAGAUGUCAGAGCACGAUUCGGGUUCGUACAAUCUGAUGAUUAAACUGUAUGGUAUUGAAGGGAGACUAGAUGAUUGUCAGAGGAUGUUUGAAAAGAUGCCUCGGAGAAAUAUCGUGACCUUAAACUCCAUGAUGUCAGUUCUUCUACAGAAUGGGAAGUUGGAGGAUGGACUGAAGCUAUUUGAGCAAAUUAAGGAUGAAGGAAACACGAUAACAUGGAAUUCUAUGAUUUCUGGUUACGUUCAGAAUGAUCAUCCUUCAGGAGCUCUAAAACUAUUUGUGGUCAUGUGUCGAUUGCCAAUUGUAUGCAGCCCGUCAACAUUCCCUGCUCUAUUGCACGCCUGUGCUGCUGUUGGAACCAUUGAGCAAGGCAAAAUGGUUCAUGCUCACCUCUGCAAGACUCCAUUCGAGUCCAAUAGUUAUGUUGGGACAGCUCUUGUGGAUAUGUACUUGAAAUGUGGGUGUGUCGGUGAUGCACGUAGCGCAUUUUGUUGCAUUGCGUCACCAAAUGUCGCUUCUUGGACAUCGCUCAUCAAUGGGCUUGCGCAGAAUGGUCAAUGGCUGGAAGCUGUAGUAGAAUUUGGGAGGAUGUUGAAGCAUCAUAUCAAUCCCAAUGAAAUCACUUUUUUGGGCCUCCUUAUGGCUAGUGCUCGUGCUGGUUUAGUUAACAAGGGGAUGAGGUUCUUCCACUCUAUGGAGAGCUAUGGACUAGUACCAACUGUCGAGCAUUAUACCUGUGCUGUCGAUCUUCUCGGUCGGACUGGACGCAUCAGAGAAGCUGAGAAGUUCAUCUCUGAAAUGCCUGUACCAGCAGAUAAGGUGGUAUGGGGAGCCCUACUCACUGCCUGCUGGUAUUCAAUGGACCUGGAGAUGGGUGAGAAAGUUGCUGAAAAGUUGCUUUGCAUGGGCACAGAGCAUAUAUCUGCCUAUGUUGCCAUGUCUAAUAUCUAUGCUAAAUUGGGGAAGUGGGAAGAUGUUGUGAAGGUAAGAACAAGAUUGAGAAGUCUCGAUGUGAAAAAGGAACCAGGGUGCAGUUGGAUUGAACUGAAAGAUAUAGUUCAUGUAUUCCUCGUGGAAGACCGGAAUCAUCCAGAGAGAGAUGAAUUAUACGUGAUGCUAGAGAAUUUAGUUUAUAAUAUAUCGUUGCAUUCUGAACCUGAUGAAGAUUUAUAUUGGUUAUCUGGAGCUUGA
rnacentral:rRNA from 1 species